rnacentral:rRNA from 1 species
UGGGGAAUAUUGGACAAUGGGGGAAACCCUGAUCCAGCGACGCCGCGUGGGUGAAGAAGGCCUGCGGGUUGUAAAGCCCUUUCGGUGAGGAAGAAAAGUUGCGACCUAACACGUCGCGACCUUGACGUAACUCAUUAAAGAAGCACCGGCUAACUCUGUGCCAGCAGCCGCGGUAAUACAGAGGGUGCGAGCGUUAAUCGGAAUUACUGGGCGUAAAGCGCGCGUAGGCGGCUUUGCAAGUCGGGUGUGAAAUCCCCAGGCCUAACCUGGGAACUGCACUCGAGACUGCAUGGCUAGAGUAUCGGAGAGGGAAGUGGAAUUUCAGGUGUAGCGGUGAAAUGCGUAGAUAUCUGAAGGAACAUCAGUGGCGAAAGCGACUUCCUGGACGAAUACUGACGCUCAUGUGCGAAAGCGUGGGGAGCAAACAG